rnacentral:rRNA from 1 species
CCUACGGGGGGCAGCAGUGGGGAAUAUUGCGCAAUGGGCGAAAGCCUGACGCAGCGACGCCGCGUGAGGGAUGAAGGUCUUCGGAUCGUAAACCUCUGUCAGCAGGGAAGAACGGUCACUGUGCUAAUCAGCAGUGAAUUGACGGUACCUGCAAAGGAAGCACCGGCUAACUCCGUGCCAGCAGCCGCGGUAAUACGGCGGGUGCGAGCGUUAAUCGGAAUUACUGGGCGUAAAGCGCUCGUAGGCGGUAUGUCAAGUCAAGGGGGAAAUCCCCGCGCUCAACGUGGGAACUGCCUUUGAAACUGGCAAACUGGAGUGUGUGAGAGGAUAGUGGAAUUCGAGGUGUAGGAGUGAAAUCCGUAGAUAUCUGGAGGAACAUCAGUGGCGAAGGCGACUAUCUGGCACAUAACUGACGCUGAGGAGCGAAAGCGUGGGUAGCAAACAGGAUUAGAUACCCUGGUAGUC